ensembl:snoRNA LOC120101345 small nucleolar RNA SNORA17
CCUGCCCUGAAUGCAUUACUGAUAUGGCUGCUGUGUGCAUCUGUAGGUGGCAGAGAGGAGAGAGGCUCCGUGUUCUGACUUGUGAACAUCUGAAUGAUUAGUAGCCUUACACU